rnacentral:rRNA from 1 species
GGACUACCGGGGUAUCUAAUCCUGUUUGCUCCCCUAGCUUUCGCGCCUCAGCGUCAGUUAUGGUCCAGUGCGCCGCUUUCGCCACAGGUGUUCCUUCCGAUAUCUACGCAUUUCACCGCUACACCGGAAAUUCCACGCACCUCUCCCAUACUCAAGCCCGGCAGUUUCUCAUGCAGACUUCGAGUUGAGCCCGAAGAUUUCACAUAAGACUUGCCAAACCGCCUACGCGCCCUUUACGCCCAAUAAUUCCGAACAACGCUUGCCCCCCUCGUAUUACCGCGGCUGCUGGCAC